rnacentral:rRNA from 1 species
AUUGAACGCUGGCGGCAGGCCUAACACAUGCAAGUCGAGCGGAUGAAGGGAGCUUGCUCCUGGAUUCAGCGGCGGACGGGUGAGUAAUGCCUAGGAAUCUGCCUGGUAGUGGGGGAUAACGUCCGGAAACGGGCGCUAAUACCGCAUACGUCCUGAGGGAGAAAGUGGGGGAUCUUCGGACCUCACGCUAUCAGAUGAGCCUAGGUCGGAUUAGCUAGUUGGUGGGGUAAAGGCCUACCAAGGCGACGAUCCGUAACUGGUCUGAGAGGAUGAUCAGUCACACUGGAACUGAGACACGGUCCAGACUCCUACGGGAGGCAGCAGCGGGGAAUAUUGGACAAUGGGCGAAAGCCUGAUCCAGCCAUGCCGCGUGUGUGAAGAAGGUCUUCGGAUUGUAAAGCACUUUAAGUUGGGAGGAAGAGCAGUAAGUUAAUACCUUGCUGUCUUGACGUUACCAACAGAAUAAGCACCGGCUAACUUCGUG